AACUCUGGGUUUCAGUUUUGGACUCAAAACUCUUUUGCAUUCACGAUUAGGCUUUUUUCUCUUUAACCGCAUGCAAUGGAUAUGAUCGUCCCCUCCUCACACAUAGUACAGCUCUCUGAAUAGCUAUUGAUGCGAAAUAUGAGCAAUGAAAUUAUGCAGCAUUGCUUAGUUUCUAGUGUAUUAACGUAAAAUGAAACAAACAGGCAUCAGUGAAGGAACAGAGGUUGGACAUUAGCUCAAUUUGCUUUUCUAGCCUUUCUAGCCUUUUGUGGGUUCAGCAGAUUCCAGUUUAACAUGAGCCACAUCUGAUUUUAUAAUGCACCAGACCAACACUCAUAGAAAGAACUACAGCAGCUAAAAAUAAAAUAUUAAUUCAUUAUUCGUUCCAGUUUUACUUAAACCCAGCUUCUUGUUUCUUUGUUUGUGUUCAUGAUUCUAGAUCCUGUUCCUCUGUAGCUGAACUAAAUGGCAGCAGGGAUCACAGCAGCCGAGAGGAUGAAGCAGCCCGUGAAACGAAUUUCCCAUUAAACAAUCACACCCGCAGCGGGCCGAGGGUCACGUCUGCAACUGUGAAGCCUUCAACAAAAAGGACAUUUUGAAAUAGAACAGAGAAGUGACAAAUAUGAACGCUGACACAUCAAAGACAAUAACUACAGCUGUCAGGUAAUACUUGGAAGCAGUGUUACACUCCUGACACAGCAUUUAUCUACGUACUUCAACAUUUCUCUGUCACAAAGAGUCACGUUUAAAAGAGCGUUCUUCAGUGCCAAAUCAACGAAGACUAACGGAAUCUAGGAAAUUACAGAAGCACAGAAGCAAUUACUAUGCUACAUGCUAAAAUAACUUUAAUUACUGCACACAGAGGAGUCCUGGUUUGUUUCUGUGCACAAACUAGUCCCAUCCACCAUACGAGUGUUUGAGGAAAAGAACAAAUGUCUCUGAUCACCUGAGAAAAGCACAACUCCAUGCAGUGAAACAUUAAGAGCAUGCACAUGCUGCUGUACAGCAUGCUAUCGUUUUUUACUUCUAUCACACAGAUUAAUUCUAUUCACAGAGGAGGCCAUUGUUUAGCUGAGGACUGUGUUUACUGUAGAACCAGUCAUGGUAACAUGUCUCAGUAGAUGUUGGCCUGUAAAGCUACACAUCAAGGGUUUUUACUUACUUACUGUUUGGUUUACAUCUAAACAUGUAUCCUAGCUUUGUUAGAGUUCCAAAUAAUUCAACAAUACAUUUUAGGAUUCAUGUUAGUUAACAUUUCCACUUAAAGCAUCAGUGCUGUGUAGCUUGUUUCUGUUGCCCUCAAGUGACCAGAAAUGUGUCAUUGCAGAUUUACGCUCUCAG